ACCCGCUUGACUUAAGCAUAUCAAUAAGCGGAGGAAAAGAAACCAACAGGGAUUGCCCCAGUAACGGCGAGUGAAGCGGCAAUAGCUCAAAUUUGAAAUCUGGCUCUUUUAGGGUCCGAGUUGUAAUUUGCAGAGGGCGCUUUGGCGUUGGCAGCGGUCCAAGUUCUUUGGAACAGGACGUCACAGAGGGUGAGAAUCCCGUACGUGGUCGCUAUCCUUCGCCGUGUAAAGCCCCUUCGACGAGUCGAGUUGUUUGGGAAUGCAGCUCUAAAUGGGAGGUAAAUUUCUUCUAAAGCUAAAUACUGGCCAGAGACCGAUAGCGCACAAGUAGAGUGAUCGAAAGAUGAAAAGCACUUUGGAAAGAGAGUCAAAUAGCACGUGAAAUUGUUGAAAGGGAAGCGCUUGCAGCCAGACUUGCCUGUAGUUGCUUAUCCAGACUUUUGUCUGGUGCACUCUUCUGCGGGCAGGCCAGCAUCAGUUUGGGCGGUUAGAUAAAGGUCUCUGUCAUGUACCUCUCUUCGGGGAGGCCUUAUAGGGGAGACGACAUGUAACCAGCCUGGACUGAGGUCCGCGCAUCUGCUAGGAUGCUGGCGUAAUGGCUGUAAGCGGCCCGUCUUGAAACACGGACCAAGGAGUCUAACAUCUAUGCGAGUGUUUGGGUGUCAAGCCCAGACGCGUAAUGAAAGUGAACGGAGGUAAGAACCCUUUGGGUGCAUUAUCGACCGAUCCUGAUGUCUUCGGAAGGAUUUGAGUAAGAGCAUGGCUGUUGGGACCCGAAAGAUGGUGAACUAUGCUUGAAUAGGGUGAAGCCAGAGGAAACUCUGGUGGAGGCUCGCAGCGGUUCUGACGUGCAAAUCGAUCGUCAAAUUUGGGCAUAGGGGCGAAAGACUAAUCGAAC
rnacentral:rRNA from 1 species